AUCACUUUUUGGUCUUUUGACUAGGAGCAAGUGUAGUAUCUGUUCUUACCAGUUUAAUAUAGUUAAAAUAUGGCAUUUCACAGACUGUAGCUGUCAGUAUCUUAGGAAUGAGUGAAAGCAGGAUAUGUUGUCCUUAGUGCUUUACAUAGUGUCUCUAGUGCCUCUUUCACAGGCUGCUGUUAGCACUA
rnacentral:snRNA from 1 species